UACGUAGGGUGCGAGCGUUGUCCGGAAUUACUGGGCGUAAAGAGCUCGUAGGCGGUUUGUCGCGUCUGCCGUGAAAGUCCGGGGCUCAACUCCGGAUCUGCGGUGGGUACGGGCAGACUAGAGUGAUGUAGGGGAGACUGGAAUUCCUGAUGUAGCGGUGAAAUGCGCAGAUAUCAGGAGGAACACCGAUGGCGAAGGCAGGUCUCUGGGCAUUAACUGACGCUGAGGAGCGAAAGCAUGGGGAGCGAACAGG
rnacentral:rRNA from 1 species